UACGUAGGGACCAAGCGUUGUUCGGAUUUACUGGGCGUAAAGGGCGCGUAGGCGGCAUGACAAGUCACUUGUGAAAUCUCCGGGCUUAACUCGGAACGGCCAAGUGAUACUGUCAAGCUAGAGUGCAGAAAGGGCAAUCGGAAUUCUUGGUGUAGCGGUGAAAUGCGUAGAUAUCAAGAGGAACACCUGAGGCGAAGGCGGGUUGCUAGGCUGACGCUGACGCUGACAGCGCGAAAGCCAGGGGAGCAAACGGG
rnacentral:rRNA from 1 species